AUAGGGACAAAAUAUAUAGAGGAGACUUAAAAGAAAAGGGAAAUUAAGUCAAGAAAAAUAAAAAUAAAAUUGCUCCUCUGCCCGCACCACAAAGGUAUAGCAGGCAUCCUAAUAUAAAAAAUUACUUAAAAAACCCCACCCCCCCGGGAUCUACUGUUUUAGCAUAACCACAGCCAAGGGCACCGGCCCAGUCCAUCAGCGACGUUUAUUAAAAACUAGAAA